UAACAGUUGUACUAGCUCAUAACUAAUGAGGUCAUUACAGUCAAAUGUCCUUAUGCAGUUGAACAAACUAUUAAUUAUUGAGCUCUGUUGACAUUUAUGCCACUUUAAUUGAAUAGGGCUCAAAAUUUGAUAGUUAAUUUGUGUGGAGCACUCAAAAAGUUUAGGAGUAGUGGCAUGACGUCAUGACGUGGUGGGUGGGUCUUAUCUCUGCCUCAGGAAAGCUGAGUCAGCCAUCUUGAAUUUGCCUUCAUGCGGAGAAGUUUUCAUGGAAGUUUUUACAGUUUAAUUUGUUUUUAUUCGUUUGCAAUGCAUUUUUUAUCCCCUCACUUCAAACCAAGACCUCAGUUUUUUCAUCUUUGACCUGCCGUCAUUUCAGCGCCGUCUUAUCAGCGCCGUCUUAUCAGCCCUGAUUUGGCUCGAGUGUUUGGUUGUGAGAUGAUCAUCUAGGAAUCUUUUUUAAAAGUUCAGAUAUUGGACUUGAGUGCUACAGAGAGUCAGCGUUUCACCAUCAGACAGUUGGCAAUAGAGUUUCACCGAAUCAACAACAUUAACCUGCGGAAUCAAUUCUACAAGGAGCUGGACAGACACACGCCUAAACUCAUCACCUUGUUCAGAGACAAGGCCACCAAGACUGUCAAGACAGUGGAGGAGCUAGCCAAACUCAUGAGGAUUUAUGACCUUCAGGAACAACGUGAUGUAAAUAUGAGAUGGGACCUCAUCCUUGGUGCACUUCCUGUCUACCUGCAUGAAGAUUCUUUAAGUUCUUCAGGACCUGUAAUUCAGGAGUUGGUCCAGACCUCACCGAUACUCCAGUGGCUCUCCUGACAGUCAUAACGGAUAACACUACUGAUGCAGCCCUCUUCUGCCCUGAGAGUAUCUGUCGUGAAGGAUAAAAUACUUGCAAGCUCCUUUUGUGUCUUUUUAAAAGCACAUUGUUGAAUAAAAAAAGUUGCUAAAUUGUCA